GGGGCUGUAGUGUAACUUGGUUAUCAUUGGAGGCUGGGGGUCUUCAGAUCUGGAUUCAAAUUCCAGCAGCCCCA
rnacentral:tRNA from 1 species